AUUGAACGCUGGCGGCAUGCUUUACACAUGCAAGUCGAACGGUAACAGGCCUUCGGGUGCUGACGAGUGGCGCACGGGUGAGUAAUGCAUUGGAACGUACCCAGAGGUGGGGGAUAACGCAGCGAAAGCUGUGCUAAUACCGCAUGUGAUCUGAGGAUGAAAGCGGGGGACCGAGCAGCAAUGUUUGGCCUCGCGCCUUUGGAGCGGCCGAUGUCGGAUUAGCUAGUUGGUGGGGUAAAGGCCUACCAAGGCGACGAUCCGUAGCUGGUCUGAGAGGACGACCAGCCACACUGGGACUGAGACACGGCCCAGACUCCUACGGGAGGCAGCAGUGGGGAAUUUUGGACAAUGGGCGCAAGCCUGAUCCAGCAAUGCCGCGUGCGGGAAGAAGGCCUUCGGGUUGUAAACCGCUUUUGGCAGGAACGAAACGGUGUCCGCUAAUACCGGGCGCUAAUGACGGUACCUGCAGAAUAAGCACCGGCUAACUACGUG
rnacentral:rRNA from 1 species